rnacentral:rRNA from 1 species
UACGUAGGUGGCAAGCGUUGUCCGGAAUCAUUGGGCGUAAAGAGCGUGUAGGCGGCCAGAUAAGUCCGCUGUGAAAUCUCGAGGCUCAACUUCGAGCUGUCGGUGGAAACUGUCUGGCUAGAGUCCGGAAGAGGAGAAUGGAAUUCCUGGUGUAGCGGUGAAAUGCGCAGAUAUCAGGAAGAACACCCGUGGCGAAGGCGGUUCUCUGGGACGGUACUGACGCUGAGACGCGAAAGCGUGGGGAGCGAACAGG